rfam:Operophtera brumata OBRT01_Sc09163, whole genome shotgun sequence.
GUGGGCUACGGAGACAUGGCUCCCAAGACGUACCUGGGCAUGUUCGUGGGCGCGCUGUGCGCGCUGGCCGGAGUGCUCACCAUCGCUCUGCCCGUGCCGGUCAUCGUCUCCAAC